CCUCCCCCUAGCGGUGUCGCAGGUGUGGCUGCUGUGUCUCCUGUGUGUCCGCAGGUGGCAGGAGGGAGAGAGGCUAUGUCUAUGCUCAGUGUUCUGACCUAUGAACUUCUGAGUGAUUGCUGGCUUCACAUU
ensembl:snoRNA